GCCAGCAUGGCUCAGUGGUAGAGCACUCGACUUGUAAUCGAGCGGUCGUCGGUUCAAAUCCGACUGCUGGCU
rnacentral:tRNA from 1 species